rnacentral:tRNA from 1 species
GAGGGUAUAGCUCAAGUGGUAGAGCGUGUGCUUAGCAUACAUAAAGUCCUGGGUUCAAUCCUCAGCACCUCCU